UACGUAGGGCGCGAGCGUUGUCCGGAAUUAUUGGGCGUAAAGAGCUCGUAGGCGGCCUGUUGCGUCCGCUGUGAAAUCCCGGGGCUCAACCCCGGGCCUGCAGUGGAUACGGGCUGGCUAGAGGCAGGCAGGGGAGAACGGAAUUCCUGGUGUAGCGGUGAAAUGCGCAGAUAUCAGGAGGAACACCGAUGGCGAAGGCAGAUCUCUGGGCCGUAACUGACGCUGAGGAGCGAAAGCAUGGGGAGCGAACAGG
rnacentral:rRNA from 1 species